AACGCAGCAUUUUUGGCUAAGUCGGAGCCUAUGACUCCUCACGUGCCAGGGCCUUUGGAAACAGCACAACAUGACAGCAUCCUUGGAAAUGCAAAGCCCUGGAGGGGGGAGCACAUGGAGACUUUUAUAUUAGACGUUUCACUUUGCAUCACAUGCAGGGAAACCCAAAGCAAGAGGCUGCGCGACCUCCACUCCCAGGGACUUCAAUGGGACUUGAGGGUGCUCAGCCAUUGGCAGGUCACAGCCUUAAAGGAGUCCGAAACUUCAGAUAAAACAGAAUAGGUUACAACCACCCUCUCCCUAUUAUAGAUGGAGACAGGGUAGUCACCCGACACAUUGGGCCCCAGCAUGCAUUGCUCCAUCUUGAUCUGAGCAGCGGCUAUUAGACAGAUAGGGUGCAAGUAAUGGGGCACGAGGUCUUCCCGAUUCACACAUUCUUAUUAAAAACAAAGUUGCUAUAAGCCAUGCAAUAAAAAUGCAUAGGCCUCAUUUUCUAUCUAAUCUAAGACACCUGUCACCUUGGUAUCUCAGCACAAUCAGGAGCCCAUUGGCUCUUCUGAGCAAACAUCUCUGCAGAUCAGCAACGAGGUGAAAACGUGAGUUAAACGUCUGCAGAUGUUUUUCCCUUACACAAUCAGUUGCUUCUACUUUGUUUGCAAGCAUCGUUCACAUCGUUGUUGUCAAAAAAUCAAACCAGGUGAAGCCUUCACAGAAGUAACAAUGCAGAGGAAAGGAGCUCUGCGCCGAAUAACUUCACUCAUUGGAGGCAGAACAGGAUCAGCGGAAGUCCCUGGAGUUACACCCACGUGAGGAACAAAGCAGAAUUCCUACGUUUCUAAACCCGAUGGACCGAACCAUACAAUUGGCAUACAAGUGUCUCUUCUGAGAUCAUUGAGUAGACUGUCUAAGUCUUCUAGGCCACCGGAUUUAAGAGAUAUGGUUCACCGAGGUGUCUGUCCUCCACUGAGCAUAGCACACGGGAACAAUUUAUCCUCAGCCCUGGAGCAAACCAGACACUGGUUUUAGCCCAUCUACUCUGCGAGCUGCGAACGGUCCUUUUCCCCCCAAGCAGCCUUUCUGCAUCAGAUCUCUUUUUUUGCUGAUUUGCAUGGUCUUCUUGCAUUAUUUGAGAAUUAAAAUAUACAUGCUACAUCUAAUUUGGGCAAAAGUCUUGAUCCCACUGCAUCACUAAUAGCAGCUUCUGGAGUAGCUAUAUAUUCUGUGCAGCAGGAGUCUUCUACUUUCUCUGAAUAAAGGAAUCUUGUUAUAAGAUUAUAGGGUUUGUUUUUUUCCUUUGCAUCAGUCAAACUAUUAGAGUUCUUAAAGACAGAGCGUUUGGCAGGGCAUUUCCUGACCCCUAGUUUACUCAUGCCCAGUCAACCGUAGAGAUUGCUGUUCCAAACUCCCGCACAUACAGCUCAAAUCAUCAGCAAAUGGAGGCACAUGUAAGUUCAGCGCAGCAAAAAGUGAUUGAGGCCACUCACUACAAGAAGAACCCAUGCAAUUUGACUCCACAAACUAACCUCCACUGGAUCCAGAAAUAGGACCAUGUUUCCACACAUCUUUAAAACCAAAAAGCCCCCACAGUAAAGAAAUAGGAAAUUCCUGCUGGAAAAUCUCUGUCUUGCCUCAAAUGCCUGGCUGGAAUAAGCUAGAUAAGAAACAAGAUCUGCUCAGUAGGGCUGCACAAAGCUUCGGGAGCUGAUUCGAUUCGGAGGAGAUUCGGCCCGAUUCGGCAGACAAAUGUCCAAAUCCAAAUCAAAUCAGGGGACCAGUUAAAAGGUCUGAAUUGAUUUGAAGCUCUCCAAAUUAAUUCGGAAAAGAUUCAGAGAGCUUCGGCAAUUUGGGCAGUCCUCACUCGCUGCAGCAGGAAAAUGGACCUGGACUCCAUGCUGGGAAGUGUUACUAAGGAACGGCUUCAGCAGAGGAAGAAAGCUUCGUCAGACAAGAGGCAAUACAUGGAGGGAAAAUCUGCUUUCCCCAUAUACCAGCAUGUGGGCCGCUGAAUCAAAUUAAAUUCCUUUGUGUUACUAACCAUUAGUGAAUGCAGUAACAAUAGAGGUUAUAUUAUCUUGCUAUGGCUCUAGGAAAGUGAGUUCAAGCCCUACUCUGGAUUUAUGCUAAAGGCUGCCCUUAGUUGACAUGUCUAUAAAGAUGUUCCUCAGCCCAAAUGACCAAGAACCAAGAUGUCUGAACCUGAUGCUAGCAACAUUGCUUUUUUGUGUGCUGUUGGCUAUAAAUACAGGUAUGCUGCAUUACCCCAAGGGAUUACUGUUGGAGGUCGCAGGAGCAUUUGCUGAAGUUUAUGCCAGUAAAUGCAUCAAUUCACCUUUCAGUGAACCAGAAAAGAGUUGCUGACCUAGUAUCCAUUAUGUAUAACAGAAUUAUGGACAUAAUUUAAAGCAGCCUUCUAUGUAGCUUCUAUACCGGGGUUGAACAUUUUGCAUACCCCAGCAGCCAUCUCUCAAAGAAGGCCAACAUCUACAAGGAGAUCUGGUAUAUGAUCUGAUGCAUCAGCUGUGCCUUCAGAAGACUGAAUCAUUGUGUGUUCAAUGAUCAUGACAUCAGGACUCAAAGCUCCUGUUACAUAAGGCUGUGGUGAUCCCAACUUUUUUCUACAGCUGUGACAUUUGGGUGACCUACAGGGACCAUCUGAAAAGCCUGGAAUGCCAUCACCAGCGCUACCUGCAGAAGAUCCUUGGCAUAAAGUGGGAGGAUAGUCACACAAAUGCCUGUGUCCUCAUCAACACUAACACCACCAGUAUGGAAGCAUUGGCUAUUCAACAUCAGCAUUUGGAUGGUUAUCUUGUUGGGGUCAUCUGACCCCAGCUGACUUCUUCCCCUUUGGGCAGGGGGCUGGACCCGAUGAUCUCACGAGGUCCCUUCCAGCCCUAAUGUCUAUGAAACUGCGGUGGACAGGGCGCUGUGAGCGCAUGAUGUAUAUUUACCAAAACACCUGCUAUACUCCCAACUUAGCCAAGGAAAAAGGACAUGCAGCCAGAGGAAAUGCUUCAAGGACACCCUCAAGGCGAACAUUAAGAUAUGUGGCAUGGACACCACAAAUUGGGAAAAGCUAACCUGGGACAGGGCUACAUGGUGAUGCCUUGUGAGAAGGUAUGUCUUACUUUGAGGAAAACCGUCUCACCCGUGUGGCAAAAAAAUGACAGAAAUGGAAGGAAAGGAAACAAGGCCAAAAGAUCUGUGGUUACACCCUCCCUUUAACCACCACCCAUGGCAUUUGCCAGAGAGUCUCUGGCUCUAGGAUCAGCUAUCUUAGCCAUCAAUGGACUCAUUUGCAACCCUUUCCUUGCCCCAGGGGGGUAAUCAUCCUCGACCAUGAGGGAUUGCCACCGUUGAUGAUACUGGGGCUUAUGAAGGGCGUAGUUUUCAGACAAAAUGGUGCUGGCCUGGUUCUGCAGGCUGAUCUACAAACAGUUUUGUGCCACUAUGACAGUGCCAGAGAGAAGCAGAUAGAGUUGAAAAGUCAGUGCAAGCCCCUUGUGUGGGCACACUAAUAGCAACCUAAAGCUGCCAAUACUGCACAGCUUACUCUCCUCAAUUUGUUAACUACAGGAUAAUCUUCCCCACCCUGCACAUGGGAAUUACACAUUGGCUUCAUCAGACAAAAGGCAAUGCAUAGAGGGAAAAUCUGCUUUCCCCAUGUGCCAUUAUGUGGACCACUGAAUCAAACUUCUUAUUUCAUGCUUGGUCGCCAAUCCCUCACCGAGUGUAAUGGAGUAGAUUGUGGUGUUGGCAAUUCUAUGGUGUUGACACCCGUUGAGUAUCCAAGGACAAAUUCUUCCUUGAAUUAUAUGGAGAAAAAUUUGGAGAUCUUGGGAUUUCUCCAUAUAUAAUUCAGAGAAGAACAGGGCCCUCAGAUUAUAUAUCGAAACAUCAGCUAUCAUCUCUGUGGGACCCCGUACUCUUCUCUUCUCCACUCCAAGAGAUCAGAUGACCUUCCACUGACCCUACACUUUUCAUACUUGUUUUUGCUGCUUCCUAGGAAGAUACCUGAACUAUGAGCUGAAAGAAUUACUUUCACUUUUCACCAAAAUACCUUCCAGCCACAACGAGACUAAAAAUUGCAUCAUAAUGCACAUCAGCAAGCCUAUUGAGGUGAUGUUGCUCAAGAGCAACUAACGUGGAAAUCAGCCCUGAUAUAAACUGGGAAAACUCCUCUGAUUUCUAUGGUUGCUACUGCUUUUUAUGCCACGUGUGCCUUUGCCGAUCAAAGAGCCUUUCCUGGGAGUAUUGUAGAAAUCAGCGAUGGAGGAUAAGUGGAGGAGCUGAAAAAAGUGUAACUUUAGAUGCAAUUUUCUGUGUCAAGUUGAGCUACACCUGCAAGAAUUAAGGACCUGAUCCAAAGUCUAUUGCAGUCUAUUGAUGGCUCAUAGGAAUGACCCUGCCUCUGGCAGGAGGCUGAACUAGAUGACCUCUGGAGAUCCCUUCCAGCCCCAUAUGUCUAUAAGUCUAUGAUUCAAUGGAAAGACCCCCAUUAUCUCCGACGGGCAUUGUAUCAGACUGUAAAAAAAAAGACAGAAAGGGAAAUCGGAGCCUAUUGGAAUCCAAGGAAAUUGCUCAUGGAAAAUGAACACAUGUGAAAGUGGAUAAAAACUGCAUAUGUUAUUCCCAUGCAAUUUAAAUAUACUUUUAAUGGUUCAAAUGAGCAAGGUUUUUAACAUCUACAUUUACUUUCAUCAAGAAGUUUGGAUAAAAAAAAUUAAAAUUUUAAUCCCUGCAGGCUGCAUUAUCCCUAAACUUGCCCAGACAGAGACCUAGGGUAAGAUAUACAGAGUAUAGCAACUACAGAUAUAUAAGUAAACAUUGUCAGGCUCUCCAUAUAGGACUUCAGCGAUGAGGAUGUGCCAGGUGAAGCGACAGAUGACAGGGAUCAGAAGCAGAGCUCACGGCCCAGACAGCAGAAGCCACAUGGACCUGGAGUCAGAUUACCCCCAUCAUUUCCUUUUUGGCAUCUGAUUUUCAUGCUUUGUCUGAAUACCUGGGAACCCAAUUCUAGCACCACAUGGGAAAGCUGAUAUUCAAAAAAAAAAUGUCAUGAUGAUCAUGAUAUGCUAGUCAUAAAAAUUCUCACAUAUUUUGUGUGUGUUAUUUAAAUGACUUUUUCCUCUAACUAAACCUAAGUUUGGAGCUUAGGUUGUUCUGUGUUGUUUUAAAGGGGACAAAAAGGAUAAAUAAAAACCAGCCCUGCCUAUA